CCCCUGAUAGCUCAGUUGGAAGAGCGUGAGACUGUAAUUGGCUAUCUCAAUGUCACCUGUUCGAGCCAGGUUCAGGGGA
rfam:Phanerochaete carnosa HHB-10118-sp unplaced genomic scaffold PHACAscaffold_4, whole genome shotgun sequence.